rnacentral:rRNA from 1 species
UCGAAGGCAGCAGUGGGGAAUAUUGCACAAUGGGCGAAAGCCUGAUGCAGCUAUGCCGCGCGUAUGAAGAAGGCCUUAGGGUUGUAAAGUACUUUCAUCGGGGAGGAAAAAACAAAACUAAUAAUUUUAUUUCUUGACGUUACCCGAAAAAGAAGCACCGGCUAACUCCGUGCCAGCAGCCGCGGUAAUACGGAGGGUGCUAGCGUUAAUCAGAAUUACUGGGCGUAAAGAGCACGUAGGUGGUUUUUUUAAGUCAGAUGUGAAAUCCCUGGGCUUAACCUAGGAACUGCAUUUUGAAACUGAAAUACUAGAGUAUCGUAGAGGGAGGUAGAAUUCUAGGUGUAGCGGUGAAAUGCGUAGAUAUCUGGAGGAAUACCUGUGGCGAAAGCGGCCUCCUAAACGAAUACUGACACUGAGGUGCGAAAGCGUGGGGAGCAAACAGGGAUUAGAUACC